AAUUCAUCAACCUCGGUGAUCUGCCCUUAAUUGUGGUUCGAGAUCUGGGGUUGGAUAUGGGUCUUUUGCGCCUGGCGCAAUGGCCUGAAAUUCAACGUCAUCGAACUGAACACUGAGGUUCAAGUUCAAGCGCAUGAGGAGUUUGUUCUCUUUUUACGUCUUGAUACAGGGAUCUGCUGGUGGGAUCGUCUCGGUGACUCAACCAUCAAACAGAAGGGACUCGAAAGGGAUUCUUCUGAAC
rnacentral:misc_RNA from 1 species